UGCAUACAAGUGAGUGAGGUUGAGGACCGAGAGGGAAAAAUGAUGAAAGGCAAAUGGAGGCUAAGAAUAAGAGCAGGAUGUAGACCAUAAGUUUGUAAUUAGAUAAGUUUUAGAUAGCUUCAUUGGAUACUUUAUUCUUUGCAGUUCGGAUAAUGUCGCAUAUUUCACUUUUUUGUCGAAUACGAAUAUGGAACCGGAUAGAAAAAACACUAAAAAUUGAAUCCGGAUACAUCCAUUUUGUUAGGAAUAAUCAGCAUGUAUUCCCAGGGGGCCAAUAGACCCAUAUAAGGAGAGUACAGGUGGUAGUACAUAUACACAGAACCCCUUAUACAAUGGGAUAAAUACACAAAGGAAACAUAUCUCUAACCCCCCCCCUCAAACUCAUGGUGGAUCUACAACACUGAGUUUGGAGAGAAAGUAACUAUGCUGUGCACGAGUCUGUGCCUUCGUGAAGAAGUCAGCGACCUGGAGCUCCGAAGGCACAUACUGAAGAACAACCACCUGAUCCUGAACCUGAGACCGAACAAAGAAGGCAUCAACACCAAUAUGCUUGGUAAGCUCAUGCUUCACCGGAUCCCGAGCAAUAUUGAUAGCCCCCGUGCUGUCAGAGUGAAGAGGAGUCGGUCCAGUCAAAGAAACACCAAAAUCCUCAAGUAGCCACCGUAACCAGGAGAGCUCUGCUGUCAACAAUGCCAUAGCACGCAACUCAGCCUCUGCACUAGAACGGGAAACCGCAGUUUGCUUCUUAGUCUUCCAAGCAAUGAGAGAACCACCCAAGAAAACACAGUAAGCAGAAAUGGACCGGCGAUCAGAGGGAUCACUAGCCCAUGUAGCAUCAGAGUAAGCAUGAAGCUGCAAGGAAUUGGAGCGUGGAAAGAAAAGACGGCGAGAGCUAGUGACACGCAGGUAGCGCAGAACACGAAGAAGAUGACUGUAGUGAAUAUGUGUGGGGGCGGAAACAAACUGACUGAGAAUAUGUACUGCAUGAGAAAUAUCCGGACGAGUGACACCAAGAUAGACCAAACUCCCAACAAGAUGGCGAUAGCGGGUAGGAUCUGCCAAAGGCUCACCAUCAGUAGGACGAAGCUGGAGGUUAAGCUCCAUCGGGGUGUCAACCGUACGCUCAUCAGUCAGAGAGGCUCGAGCGAGAAGAUCAUGAAUGUACUUCUCCUGGGAUAAGAAGAAACCACCAGACGAAGAGGAAACCUCGAUCCCAAGAAAAUAGCGAAGAGGACCAAGAUCAGACAUGAGAAACUGCUCACAAAGCCGAGCCUUGACAAAGGCAAUAAACUGAGAAUCAUCCCCUGUGAUAAUCAUAUCAUCAACAUAUAGGAGAAGAAGAGUACGACCACGAGGAGAAGAGUGGAUGAAGAGCGCAGGAUCAUGGUCACUAGCAGAGAAACCAGCAACAGUGACAACAGAAGAGAAACGCUCAAACCAAGCUCGAGGGGCUUGUUUAAGGCCAUACAAAGAACGACGAAGAUGACAAACCAUGCCUUCUGGAACAGAAUACCCCGGAGGCGGCUGCAUAUAGACAUCCUCACGCAACUCACCAUUAAGGAAAGCAUUCUUGACAUCAAGCUGAGAGAUCGACCACUGACUAACAGAAGCAACAGCAAGGAGAGUACGAACAGUGGUCAUAUGAGCAACCGAAGCAAAAGUCUCAUCGAAAUCACGACCAUGCGCCUGCUGAAAACCACGAGCCACAAGACGUGCCUUGUACCUCUCAAGAGAACCAUCAGAGCGAGUUUUGACUUUGUAUACCCACUUGCACGUGAUAGGGCGAAUGCGAGGAGGAAGAGGAACAAGUUCCCAGGUACCAGUACGCUCAAGAGGAGCUAACUCCGCCGCCAUCACCUCCUGCCACUCAGGAUGAAGGAUAGCAUCGUGAUAUGAAGUCGGCUCAGAAAGGACGGUAGAAGAAAAAGCAGCGGGAUCGUACCGAGCAGGAGGCCGACGAACUCGACAACCACGUCCAAGAAGCGGCUCAAGCGCAGGCGAAGGAGGGGUGUCAGAAAAAGAUGCUGAAACAUCAGGAGAAGAAUCAUGAGGAGAGGACACAACCCGUCGUGUAUAGACAUGUGUCACUGGAGGCUUCACAGAAUAGUCAGGAACCAAAGGAGAAGGCUCAGAAGAUGAAACCACAGAAGAAGGCAAAGUAGAAGGGGACUCUGUAGGCAAAGGUACAAGGCUCGAAGGAGGCAGAAAAGCAAUAGGUGUAUCAGGGAAAGUCAAGAAAGAAAGUGGCUCGACCAAAGACGACUGUGAAUCAUCAGAGGAAGGACGAGGAUAAAAUGGACGAGACUCAUCAAAUACAACCUCGCGAGAAAUCCGCAUCCGACGACUGACCGGAUCCCAGCAACGAUAUCCCUUAUGCUCAGAACUGUAGCCUAGGAAAACACACUCAACAGACUGUGAAGUUAGUUUGGUACGCUCCCGAGGUGGAAGAAGAACAUAGCAAACACAACCAAAUAGUCUAAGCGAAGAGUAGUCAGGUAGACGUCCAAAAAGAUGCUCAAACGGAAUCCCCCCCGAAGGGCAGUGGAAGGCUGAAUGCUAAUAAGAUGUGUGGCAGUAGAGACAGCCUCAGCCCAAAAUUGAGGAGGAACACAGGAGGCAAUCAUGAGUGCACGCGUGGUCUCAAGGAGGUGACGAUGUUUGCGCUCGGCUACACCAUUCUGCGCAUGGGCACCAGGACAAGAAAAUUGAGGAAGGGUUCCCUGAGAGUCGAGGAAAGCACGGAGAGAUCGAGAAAGGAACUCGCCAGCAGAAUCAGCACGGAAAGCACGAAUAGACGUGGCAAACUGAGAACGAAUCAUAGUAGCAAAGCAUCGAUAUAUGGGUAGAAGCUCGCUACGAGAGGACAUAAGAUAAAUCCAAGUAUAGCGAGAGAAAUCAUCAAUAAAAAUGAUAUAGUAUCUGUGACCCCCUUUUGAAGAAAAGGGAGCAGGACCCCAUACAUCUGAGUGGACUAAAUCAAAAGGACGCUGAGAGACAGACUCACUACUAUGAUAAGGAAGCUGAAUAUGCUUUCCCAAGCGACAACCUUGACACGAAUGAAGAGAAACAUCUCCUGAGAUAGGACCAAGAAGACCACGAUGAACUAAUGAAGAUAAUCGAGAUCCACAGACAUGACCAAGACGAUGAUGCCACUGCUGAAAUGUGCCUGUGGAAGAAGAAGUAGCAAGACUAGCAGCAGCGGAAGGAAGACGAAGCCAGUCAAGCUGCCAAAGGCGUUGAGAGUCACGGAGCCGACGGCCAGUACCAAUCAGGGACCCCGUGCGACGAUCCUGAACAAAACAAGAAUCAGAAUCAAGGAUAACACGACAAUCAUGGUCGGUGAUCUGACCUGCGGACAUGAGCUGCAAGGUGAGUUGGGGAACAUAAGAAACAGAAGGAACAUGAAAAGAAGAAGUCUCAAGAGAUCCCCGACCAGCAACAGGAAGAGAAGUACCAUUCGCAGUGAGUACAGAAAUAGGUGACGAAGGAGAAUGUAAGGAAGAAAGAAUGGAAGAGUCCGAAGUCAUAUGAAAAGAAGCCCCAGAAUCAAGGAUCCAUGGAAGAGUACCUGACUGUGAAGAGGGUGGUCUCUCAAUGCUGGAAGACACCCUAGCAGAACCAGCAGAACCAGCAGCAGCAGAAGGGGAGGAGACGCACAAGUGACGAAGCAGCCGUAGAAUCUCCUGCUGAGUACUGUCAGUAGUCGAAGACGAAGCAGGAGACGUAGUAGACGACGAAGCCGGAGAAGAAGCACCAGGAGGACGACGAUGAUGCUUCUUCUUCCUGUAGCACUGGGACUCCCAAUGGCCAGCACGAUCACAAUAAUCACAGUAAGGACGGCCUUUACCAGAUGACGGAGCACGUGAAACAGCAGCCGAAGAAGCUGUCGACGAAAUAGAUGUCGUCGAAGGAGCUGAUGUAGAAGACCCCGUAGGUGAGGCCACAAGCACUGUGGGCACUGGAGGAAGCGGCAAAAGACCAGCAUCACGAAGACGAGUCUCCUCGGAGCGAACAGCAGUGAGCACCUCCACGAGUGAGACACGAGGGUGCCGUGCAAGUAGCUGAGCGCGGCACUGCUCGUACUCCGAUCGAAGCCGAGUGAGGAACUCGUAGACACGCCGGAAGUCGCGCUCAGCUCGGAGAGCAUGACAACAGUCACAGGUACGACAGCCAGCAGUGCAGAGAGUGUCCAACUGGCACCAUAUAGCAGACAUCUGAGCAUAAAAGGCAUCAACAGUCAAAUCUCCCUGCUGAAGUGUUUGCUCCUGACGAACCACUGAAAGGUAGAGGGCAUCUCCAGACGGCGCAUAGCAACGACGAAGAUGAGACCACAUCUCAAAAGCAGUAGACAAACCAACAAUCUCAGAAGCAAACGGAGAAUGCAUGCUGGCGAUGAGGAUAGAAGUAGCACGAGCAUCAUCAUCAACCCACUGAGUGUACAAUGUCAGCUGAUCACGAUACAGAUCCAAGGCCUCCUGAUAUGCAGUAACAUUCUUGUCAUAGGCUGAGGAAGCAGCAGGAUCCUUCGUCGAGUCAGAAGGAGGCACAGGCUCUUGAGGCGGAGCCGCAGCAACAGGGCAGCGAAGAUCACCACAGAGAACACCUCAGAGACGAAGACCGCGCAUGUGCACCCUCAUAUGCUGUAUAAAAUCCGUGUAAUUGGUGCCAUCGAAGAGCACCGAACAGCGAGGAACAGAGAUGGUGCUACCUGUAGAAGCCAUCAGGAAGGUAGAUAGGUGCUGCCUGUAGAAACCAAUCUGUUAUCCGUACAGGGACAAUCCAACCAAUCAGGUUGCACAAGCCACGUACCAGUGUAGAAGCCAAUCUGGAGACGUACAGGCACAAUCCAACCAAUCACGAGUCACGCACGAGCAAUCAGGACGGAGCAACCACGGACGGUCUCACAGGCAGAACAGAGCAAUCAUGAGGAACGCAUGAGCGCAAGGCUAAUCCAGUCAGCGGGCGGCGACAGAUCGACGGGAGACCGGACGAACGGCGCGGCGUAUGACCGACAGGCGGCCGGACGAGCAGCGUGGCGGCAGAUCGAUGGGCGGUCGCACGAGCGACACGGCGACGGACCGCCAGGCGGCCGGAAGAGCGCCGCACGAGCGACCGAAGCAGCGCUGACGGGAAAAAAAAAACACGGAACCAACCGUCGGCGGCAGGAGCUGAUGUACCCUAGAUCGAUUUUGGCUCUAUACCAUGUUAGGAAUAAUCAGCAUGUAUUCCCAGGGGGCCAAUAGACCCAUAUAAGUAGAGUACAGGUGGUAGUACAUAUACACAGAACCCCUUAUACAAUGGGAUAAAUACACAAAGGAAACAUAUCUCUAACACAUUUGACAUCCACAUUAAAAAUGAAUACGAAUACAGAUAUCCAUAUUGGCAUUUUUAGCGGAUACGAAUUCGGAUAAUUCGGAUUUACACAUGUACACGAAUUCGGAUAUACAUUUAAAAAGGGGAUGGAUACAGAUUUUCUCUUUUUCAAAUGUACAUGUGUUGAUCACAAGAAAUUUUUUUUUGUUCAUUGUCUCUAUAUUGCAAUGGCUCACACAACCACGGUAACAUACUUGCGGUCACCGCUCCAAGGGUAGUUCAAACGGAGUGCAACAAGAUAUAGAGGUAGCGGUGUGGAUCCCAUGCAAAGCAAAAUGCUGUGCUCCACGACUGUCAGGGACACAGCAUGCCGCUCACUACGCCCCUGGCCAUCUUCAAUAGUCGCCAACAUCAGUACAGUGUGGAACAUUAAGUUGCUCAUAGGAAUCAUAGCUGCUUCCCGUAGCCUCCCUUUCCCAUUAUACAACUUCUCAACUCAAGCCAUUUCCUCUCAUCUCCCCAAUACAUAUGCG
rnacentral:lncRNA from 1 species